CGGACGGGUGAGUAAUGUCUGGGAAACUGCCUGAUGGAGGGGGAUAACUGCUGGAAACGGUAGCUAAUACCGCAUAACGUCGCAAGACCAAAGAGGGGGACCUUCGGGCCUCUUGCCAUCGGAUGUGCCCGGAUGGGAUUAGCUAGUAGGUGGGGUAACGGCUCACCUAGGCGACGAUCCCUAGCUGGUCUGAGAGGAUGACCAGCCACACUGGAACUGAGACACGGUCCAG
rnacentral:rRNA from 1 species